UACGGAGGGAGCUAGCGUUGUUCGGAAUUACUGGGCGUAAAGCGCGCGUAGGCGGUUUUUUAAGUCAGGGGUGAAAGCCCGGAGCUCAACUCCGGAAUAGCCUUUGAAACUGGAAGACUUGAAUCUUGGAGAGGUCAGUGGAAUUCCGAGUGUAGAGGUGAAAUUCGUAGAUAUUCGGAAGAACACCAGUGGCGAAGGCGACUGACUGGACAAGUAUUGACGCUGAGGUGCGAAAGCGUGGGGAGCAAACAGG
rnacentral:rRNA from 2 species